AUGACUAUAAAUAACUAAGAUCAGAAGCAGUAGACCCGAAAUACAGCCCUAAGCCCGACUCGACAACGACGAACCCUGAAGACUGCAAUCUCACAAGCAUUGACUCCAAAUUCGACUGCCCCAUCUUAUUCUCACCUCGGUUAGACUCGCAAAACGAUCUUGACGAUGCUGAAGAUGAGCGGGCGGUAGAGCGAUGAGGUGUCGCAGCGGCACGAUGGAUCGAUGGCAAGGAUGCUCUGAGCAGUGCCCAAGAAUGCAUAGCAUUAAGAAGAUUUUGAUAGCAUUGAUUUAGAGAAGAAUUGAUAUUUAUUCGCGGCGCAAAUACAUAUAAACUGUGUUACAGGAAUAUGCGUGAGAAGCUGAAGAUUGGGUGCCGUACGGAUUUGAUUUGGGGGUCAGCAACAAUAAACUCAUUACUGUAGGGUGGUUUCGACUGUUCAAUGGGCAUAUAGAUUCAACCCCAUUGAAUCUGGCGGAGAAGGAUGUUCCUCCCAGUGGCUACCACUACCAGCCCUUCUGUGGGUUAUUACUCUCUUUUGCCUCCCACGUAAAGGUCUCAAAUCUCUCUCUCUCACACACACAUCAUGUGAUAAUCUUUUUGCCGCAAGAUAAAUUACUUUUGAGUCCUUUAGAAUUUCUCAUCGUCGAUCGAGCUCGCCGCUACUGUCCAUCGCAGUCACUGCUUCCAUUCGAACCUCCGUCGUCGCCACAGCCGUAAGCCACUGCAAACCCUUUGCGUCGCAGGCCGUUUUCUUGCUCGACCUCUGCAGCUUCGCCAUCGACCACUCUUGUCGUCGAUUGAUCUUCCUUGCUGUCAAUCGUCGGCCGUGAGCUUCAUCGCCGUCCGUUGCUCCAAGCAACCAUCAAUUACUUUAUCGCCGGCCGAGAGCAUCGUUUAUCUUCAAAUCUGCCAUCAACAGAAGCUUCAAAUCAGCAAGACCCAGAUCUCAAAUUGGAUCUGGUCUGACCCGAUAGACCUAUUGACCCAUCAAGACCCACUCUAGAUCCAGCAGAUUUGCAAUCCAGAUCCAGAUCUGAUUUUUGCCCAAUUUGAGCCCAGAUUUGGUAUUUUUAAUCCGUUUUUCAGUUGGGUUUAUUAUUGAAAUUAUUUGAUAUUAUUUGGGGAUAUUUAAUGACUUUGUUGAAGUACGAUAUUCCCUUAUUGGACUAAAAUAUCAGAUUUUUCCUAUAACAGGUUAA